UCCUCUUUAUAAGCUGCCAUUGAUUUUGUGUUAGUUCAGCCUGUGAAUAACAUGAAACAAGACAGAAAGAGAGAGAGAGAGAAGAGACAGUUUGACGGGGGAGAAGGAAGGUGCAGGUGUUAUAGUAAAGUGUAAUUUGAAAUUUACUAAUUUAUUGAUUGAAGACAUAAUUAGCCUAAUUUAUAAGUCAUUAGUUAUUUGUUCUUUGUAGUAAUGGAAAGGCUGAAAUUCUUACUAAACUACAAACAAAAUGUCAACCAACCUCAGUGUUUUUUAGUAAGACUAGUGGUCAGACAUUGUAUGCCUUUGGUCAAUCAUUGCCUGAUGAUGAGUCAGUGGCAGCUGCUAGUGAUGGAGCCAAAUCGUUUGAAUAUGAAGUCUCUGUCAUUGAUUGCAGUGACAGAAAAAAUGUCCGACAAUCUUCGUCACUUUAUUCUGUUGAGAAUACGUUUUGCAGCGAAGCACAAGUUAAAGUCUGCUCACCAAAUAACGACGAAAGUUUGCUAGCAGCUGGAUGUGAAUCCGGAUUGAUUAUGAUGUUUGAUAUAAAGAGAGAUCAAGUGAAGAAAGCGAAAUCUUAUUUCCUAUCAAUCUCCCAUAUCUCAUGGCACCCAGCUGGAGCCAUUGUUUUUGUUUGUGGCAGUCGUGGCGAGAUACAGUGUCUUGAUUGUGCCCUUAACCCUCUCUCCUUCCUACUCACUAGUGACGUAUUGACUGAUAUCAGCACCACACCUUUACUCCAGAUUGGAUCACAC